rnacentral:rRNA from 1 species
GAACUUUCCAGAGAUGGAUUGGUGCCUUCGGGAACUGUGAGACAGGUGCUGCAUGGCUGUCGUCAGCUCGUGUUGUGAAAUGUUGGGUUAAGUCCCGCAACGAGCGCAACCCUUAUCCUUUGUUGCCAGCGAUUAGGUCGGGAACUCAAAGGAGACUGCCAGUGAUAAACUGGAGGAAGGUGGGGAUGACGUCAAGUCAUCAUGGCCCUUACGACCAGGGCUACACACGUGCUACAAUGGCGCAUACAAAGAGAAGCGACCUCGCGAGAGCAAGCGGACCUCAUAAAGUGCGUCGUAGUCCGGAUUGGAGUCUGCAACUCGACUCCAUGAAGUCGGAAUCGCUAGUAAUCGUGGAUCAGAAUGCCACGGUGAAUACGUUCCCGGGCCUUGUACACACCGCCCGUCACACCAUGGGAGUGGGUUGCAAAAGAAGUAGGUAGCUUAACCUUCGGGAGGGCGCUUACCACUUUGUGAUUCAUGACUGGGGUGAAGUCGUAACAAGGUAACCGUAGGGGAACCUGCGGUUGGAUCACCUCCUUACCU